rnacentral:misc_RNA from 1 species
AACGCACCUUGCGCUUUCUGGCAUUCCGGAAAGCAUGCCUGUUUGAGUGUCAUGAACUCUUCAACCCACCGGUUCCUUGUUGGAUCGAGUUGGUGUUUGGAUCUUGAAUGUUGCUGGCUUAGAACUGUAGUAUUCGUACUUCAGGAAAAGGCGAAGCUUGUUCGUAAUACAUUAGCAUCUCAAUUUCGAACUUCGGAUUGACUCAGCGUGAUAGACUAUUCGCUGAGGAUCAUGUUUAGGCAUGGCCGAAGAUUAAGAUAGCUAGAAGCUUCUAAUCCCCCACUAGUCAAAACUAUAAGAUUAGACCUCAGAUCAGGCAGGAUUACCCGCUGAACUUAA